rnacentral:tRNA from 1 species
GCGUCGGUGGUUCAGUGGUAGAAUACUCGCCUGCCACGCGGGUGACCCGGGUUCGAUUCCCGGCUGACACA